rnacentral:rRNA from 1 species
GAUGAACGCUGGCGGCGUGCCUAAUACAUGCGAGUCGAGCGAACAGACGAGGAGCUUGCUCCUUUGACGUUAGCGGCGGACGGGUGAGUAACACGUGGGUAACCUACCUAUAAGACUGGGAUAACUUCGGGAAACCGGAGCUAAUACCGGAUAAUAUUUUGAACCGCAUGGUUCGAUAGUGAAAGACGGCUUUGCUAUCACUUAUAGAUGGAUCCGCGCCGUAUUAGCUAGUUGGUAAGGUAACGGCUUACCAAGGCAACGAUGCGUAGCCGACCUGAGAGGGUGAUCGGCCACACUGGAACUGAGACACGGUCCAGACUCCUACGGGAGGCAGCAGUAGGGAAUCUUCCGCAAUGGGCGAAAGCCUGACGGAGCAACGCCGCGUGAGUGAUGAAGGUCUUCGGAUCGUAAAACUCUGUUAUUAGGGAAGAACAAACGUGUAAGUAACUGUGCACGUCUUGACGGUACCUAAUCAGAAAGCCACGGCUAACUACGUG